rnacentral:rRNA from 1 species
GAUGAACGCUGGCGGCGUGCCUAAUACAUGCAAGUCGAGCGAACAGACGAGGAGCUUGCUCCUCUGACGUUAGCGGCGGACGGGUGAGUAACACGUGGAUAACCUUCCUAUAAGACUGGGAUAACUUCGGGAAACCGGAGCUAAUACCGGAUAAUAUAUUGAACCGCAUGGUUCAAUAGUGAAAGACGGUUUUGCUGUCACUUAUAGAUGGAUCCGCGCCGCAUUAGCUAGUUGGUAAGGUAACGGCUUACCAAGGCAACGAUGCGUAGCCGACCUGAGAGGGUGAUCGGCCACACUGGAACUGAGACACGGUCCAGACUCCUACGGGAGGCAGCAGUAGGGAAUCUUCCGCAAUGGGCGAAAGCCUGACGGAGCAACGCCGCGUGAGUGAUGAAGGUCUUCGGAUCGUAAAACUCUGUUAUUAGGGAAGAGCAAAUGUGUAAGUAACUAUGCACGUCUUGACGGUACCUAAUCAGAAAGCCACGGCUAACUACGUG